AAAUAAUAUUUUAUUGUUUUGAUUUGGAAACGACUUAUGAUUUCUUGAAAUGCAAGAUUUAAUAACUGUCACUCACAGGGGAGAUGCAGAAGUUGAUGCUAAGCUUUGCGGGGUUUCGAUCGGCAUUCAGGGUAAUGAGUGCCUAUCGGGACGUCGCGGCGGUUGUCACGGGCCCAAUGGGAGUUCCGGGUCAUGACACACUGGGAUUUUAUAAUCUCACCACCCUCAUUUCCACUCAUUUCAGGCUCAGAAUAGACUGCAGAUAGCUGAUAUCAUCGAGAACUACAGUUGGACUUGCAUCAUGCAAAAAUUGUAGGUUCAUUUCUUUUAAUACUUUUGGUCAUUAGUGGGCCCACGUGUCACUGUAAAUUAAAUUUUAUACUUUGGUUAUCUGUAUUACAAUAUGUAUGAAUUUAUUUAGCUUUUACGCUAUAAAAAUUAUUUACCGGUA
rnacentral:lncRNA from 1 species